CUCGUUGCUUCGUACGAAUAUACACAAAGCAAAGACGAAGGUUAACGUUUACCGGAAAAUGUAAAUACAUAUUAAGCUAUUCGCAUUUGGUAGUUGCUGAAAAUAUGGUGUAGAAUAAAAUAUCAAAUAUUCUCUUUAGCGUAUAAAUUAUGCGAGGUGUGAAAAUCAUAAAAAUAUAUAUACAUACAAUGGAAAACGCUUGCUGCUGAAGUGAAAAAUAUUGAUAAUUUGAAUGAUUGUAAGUUACUAAAAAUAAAGAAGAGCAAUUGUUUUAAAAAUGGUGCAAUUAAUCGCUAAACCUGAGUAAACAUUUUCUGACGAAAUGGAAAUCGGAAAGUAGCUGAUAAAAAGCUUAAAAGUGUAUUGUGCAAUGACGAGCAAUGUAAAUACAAAAUGAAAACACAAAUUUCUACACUAAUGAUCAGACCUGAACGCUCUCCAAGCGCAGCAUGAUGCUACAACCGGAUAUACUGGUCUAUAAUGAGGCGCAAAUGCCACUACCAGGUCCCGUGGGCGUGGUCGAGCAAUGCUUACCGUGUUCAUCACUCGCAGCAUCAUUCACUUCAGUAAAAUCUAAUUAUCGCCAAUGUUGGACUCUUCUAUGUGGAUAUGCUCAACGAUGACUUUCGAUAUGGAUGGGCAUGAAUUGAUAGUAUUUCUGCAUAUACAAAAGAUCGGAGGCACAACGUUUAGACAGUAUUUGGUACGUGACUUGGAUCUAAAGCAUAUAAGCCAUGCCAUACUCAUGGACCAAUCGUUUUGAUAUUGUUUUUGAUAUUUCUGAUGAGAGGAAGACAUUGCGCAGCAACGUAAUAAAUCCGAUAAUAUUCGUUCAAUAUAUUCAAUCGCUUCCCAUUCCCAAUAUACCAAACCGGAAGAACCUAUUGAUCCAGUGGAGUAUCAGCAUCGCUUAAUGGAGUAUAUUAAAAUGCAACAGAACUUAGUUCUAAAACGCUUAGACGAUAUUGAGAAUUGAUAAUUGAAAUAGUUCUAUUUAUUGCUUCCCCAAGCAUAACCAUACAUUACAGAGCUUGAAAGCCAGAAUGAGAAUGAGAAUUUAUUGACAUAAUGACGUCUACUGUCUUCAAAGAGCUGAAUGUUAUGAAGCAACGAUCUAAACUAAAUGCUUUGGUAAACUCAAAACUAACUAUGAAAAUUUUCAACUAAAUUUCUGGUAAAAGCGAAUUCAAAUUGUAGAUUUAGUUCAGUUUAUUAUGUUUAAAAGUUAUAAAAUUGCUUUAAUAAUCCAUCUAUAGAUAUACUAUACGUUUGUAUUACGUUUCCUUUGUCUUUUAACAAUUGAUUUGAACUUUGUGCUUGUAUUGUUAAUGUUCAACGAAAUAAAUAAUGUGAAACAAAUUGAAUA